rnacentral:rRNA from 1 species
GUGGGGAAUAUUGGACAAUGGAGGCAACUCUGACGCAGCCAUGCCGCGUGCAGGAAGAAGGCGCUACGCGUUGUAAACUGCUUUUAACCGGGAAGAAACCCCAGGACGUGUCCUGGGUUGACGGUACCGGAGGAAUAAGCACCGGCUAACUUCGUGCCAGCAGCCGCGGUAAUACGAAGGGUGCAAGCGUUAUCCGGAUUCAUUGGGUUUAAAGGGUGCGUAGGCGGAGCGUUAAGUCAGUGGUGAAAUCCUGCAGCUUAACUGUAGACUUGCCAUUGAUACUGGCGCUCUUGAGUGCGCUUGAAGUGGGCGGAAUGUGCCGUGUAGCGGUGAAAUGCUUAGAUAUGGCACAGAACACCAAUUGCGAAGGCAGCUCACUAAGGCGAUACUGACGCUGAGGCACGAAAGCGUGGGGAUCGAACAGGAUUAGAAACCCCAGUAGUCC